rnacentral:rRNA from 1 species
AUGGGCGCGAAGGUUUCCAGCAGUUCCAACCACCGAGGCAGCCUGUCGGAGCAGGCACACCAGCCGGCGUCCGUCAGGGUCAUCGCCGCCGACGGCUCGCUGAAGGAGCUCCCUGCCACUCCCAGUGUCGCCGUCUCCGACGUUCUCGCCGGCGAGGCCGCCUCCUUCUUCGUGUGCAACUCCGACGCGCUCUACUUCAACGAGCCCCCACCGGCGCUGGCCUCCGAUGAGCUGCUCCGGCCGGGACAAAAAUAUUUCCUGCUCCCGGCGGCGGUUCUCGGACGGCCUCUCUCGAGCGCCGACAUGGCCGCGCUGGCCGUGCGCGCGAGCGCAGCAAUCGCGGGCGCCAAAAGGCCUGAGCGGCGCGGCGGCAAGAAGAACCUGCGCGUCGUGCCGGUGCGCGAGGAGGUGGAAGACUGCCAGGACGUCAUGUUCAACGAGAAGCUUAACGAGCGGACCCUCGGGGAGUUCGCGGUGUCGCUGAGUCCGGCGAAGAAGAGCAACGGGAAGCUCGCCGCGCGGUCGCGGCUGAGGCUGAAGCGGGCUCUGAGCAUCAUACAGGAGGCUGCUGACUGA